AUUGAACGCUAGCGGGAUGCUUUACACAUGCAAGUCGAACGGAGUGGCGGACGGGUGUGUAAUAUAUCGGAACGUGCCCAGUAGCGGGGGAUAACUACUCGAAAGUGUGGCUAAUACCGCAUACUAUUUGAACGCCCGCUAGCGGACUGUCUAGUUGGCGGUGUAAAGGCUCACCAAGGCAACGACCCGUAGCUGGUUUGAGAGGACGACCAGCCACACUGGGACUGAGACACGGCCCAGACUCCUACGGGAGGCAGCAGUGGGGAAUUGGGGACAAUGGGGGAAACCCUGAUCCAGCCAUCCCGCGUGUAUGAAGAGGGCCUUCGGGUGGUAGAGUACUUUUGGCAGAGAAGCGGUAUCUGCAGAAUAAGCACCGGCUAACUACGUGCCAGCAGCCGCGGUAAUUC
rnacentral:rRNA from 1 species